rnacentral:lncRNA from 1 species
AAAUCCCGGCGUUUGGACCCAAAACUCCGCGUCCCCAUUGCGUGUCCCGAAGUUCUGAGGUUCGGACCCGAAAUCCCGGGGUUUGGACCAAAAAUGUUGGGUUGUUCUGCCCCAAAAUCCCAGGGUUUGGACUCAAAACUCCACAUUCCCAUCAUGUGUACCAGAAUCGCGAUGUUUUGCCCCAAAACUCUGUGUCCUCAUUGGAAGUCCCAAAAUCCCGGCGUUUUGCCCCAAAACUCCGCGUCCUCAUCGUAUGCACCCAAAUCCCAGGGUUUGGUCCCAAAAUGUUGCAUCCCUCUGCCCCAAAAUCCUGUGUUUUUGACCCAAAACUCCACGUCCCAGUCCGCUGUGCCAAAAUCCCAGGAUUUUUCCCCAAAAAAUCCCAAAGUUUGGCCCCAAAACUCUGCAUCCCCAUCGUGUGUCCCAAAUUUCGGAGGUUUUGACCAAAAAUGUUGCGUCCUUCUGCCCCAAAAUCCCAGAGUUUAGACCCAAAACUCCACGUUGCAAUCGGGAGUACCAAAAUCUGGAGGUUUUGCCCCAAAAUUUGGUGUUCCUCUAGCCCCAAAUCCCAGAAUUUGGACCCAAAACUCCACAUCCCGCUCCACUGUGCUGAAAUCCCAGGGUUUGGCUUCAAAACAUUGCAUUCUUGUGGCCCAAAAUCACGGGGUUUCGCCCCAAAAUGUUGUGUUACUAUGGCCCAAAAUCCCAAACUUCGGACCCCAAACUGUGUACCUCUGCCCCAAAAUUGCGAGGUUUUGACCCAAAAUGUUGCAUUCCUCUUUCCCGAAAUCUCGUGUUCUGGACCCAGAACUCCGCGUCCCCAUCGCGUGUCCCAAAUUUCGGAGGUUUUGACCCAAAAUAUUGCAUCCCUCUUCCCCAAAAUCCCAUGUUUUCAACCCAAAACUCCACGUCCUACUCCACUGUACCAAAAUCCUGGGGUUUGGCCCCAAAAUGUUGUGGUUCUGUGCCCCAAAAUCCCAUGUUUUCGACCCAAAACUCCGCGUCCUACUCCUCUGUACCAAAAUCUGGACAUUUGGCCCCAAAAUGUUGCGUCCCUCUGCCCCAAAAUCCCAUGUUUUCAACCCAAAACUCCGUGUCCUACUCUGCUGUACCAAAAUCCUGGGGUUUGGCCCCAAAAUGUUGUGGUUCUGUGCCCCAAAAUCCCGGGUUUUGGCCCCAGAACUUUACGUCCCCAUUGUGCAUACCAAAGUCUGGAAAUUUGGCCCCAAAAUGUUGUGGUUCUGCCCCAAAAUCCCGGGUUUUGGCCCCAGAACUUUGCGUCCCCAUCGCGCGUACCAAAAUCUGGACAUUUGGCCCCAAAAUGUUGCGUCCUUCUGCCCCCAAAAUCCCAAAGUUUGGCCCCCAAACUUCGCGUCUCUCUUGGGUGUUCCAAAAUCCCAGGGUUUGGCCCCAAAACGUCGCAUUCUAAUGGACCAAAAUCCCGAAUUUUGGACCAAAACCUCCGCCACCGCCAUCGCGUGUCCCAAAGUUCUGAGGUUUGGCCCCCAAAUGUUGAACUUCUGUGCCCCAAAAUCCCAAAGUUUGGCCCCAAAACUCCACGUCUCUCAGCCCCAGAAAUGCUGUCCCCAUCUCAGUGUACCGCCGACACCGUGAUGGCUGCCUGCAUCCACACCUGUCCGUCUGUCCCGUGUCCACCCCGUGCUCCGGGUCCGUCUGUCCCAUGUCUGUCUGUCCCGUGUCCAUCUGUCCCGUGUCCAUCCCAUGUUCUGUGUCCGACUGUCCCGUGUCUGUCUGUCCCGUGUCCAUCCGUCCCGU